AUUGAACGCUGGCGGCAGGCCUAACACAUGCAAGUCGAACGAGUGGCGGACGGGUGAGUAAUGUCUGGGAAACUGCCUGAUGGAGGGGGAUAACUACUGGAACCGGUAGCUAAUACCGCAUACCAUCAGAUUUGCCCAGAUGGGAUUAGCUAGUUGGUGGGGUAACGGCUCACCAAGGCGACGAUCCCUAGCUGGUCUGAGAGGAUGACCAGCGACACUGAAAAUGAGACACGGUCCAGACUCCUACGGGAGGCAGCAGUAGGGAAUAUUGCACAAUGGGCGCAAACCUGAUACAGCCAUGCGGCGUGUAUGAAGAAGGCCUUCGGAUUGUAAAGUACUUUCAGCGGGGAGGCGUUACCCGCAGAAGAAGCACCGGCUAACUCCGUGCCAGCAGCCGCGGUAAUUC
rnacentral:rRNA from 1 species